rnacentral:rRNA from 1 species
AACGCUGGCGGCGUGCUUACACAUGCAAGUCGAACGUGAAGCCCGGUACCUAGUAUUGGGUGGAAAGUGGCGGACGGGUGCGUAACACGUUGGUGACCUGCCCCGAGGUGGGGGAUAACCGUGGGAAACCACGGCUAAUACCCCNGGAUGCCAAAGUAUUUAGAAAGCUUUGGCUAAAGCUCCGGCGCCUCGGGAGGGGCCUGCGGGCUAUCAGCUUGUUGGUGGGGUAAUGGCCUACCAAGGCAAAGACGGCUAGGGGGCGUGAGAGCGCGACCCCCCACAAUGGAACUGAGACACGGUCCAUACUCCUACGGGAGGCAGCAGUGAGGAAUAUUGCGCAAUGGGGGCAACCCUGACGCAGCAACGCCGCGUGGAUGAUGAAGGCCUUCGGGUUGUAAAAUCCUUUUCCGGGGGAAGAAUCAUGACGGUACCUCGGGAAUAAGUCCCGGCUAACUACGUGCCAGCAGCCGCGGUAAAACGUAGGGGGCGAGCGUUAUCCGGAUUUACUGGGCGUAAAGCGCACGUAGGCGGCGCUGUAAGUUGGGCGUGAAAGCUCCCGGCUCAACUGGGAGAGGUCGUUCAAAACUGCAGUGCUUGAGGUUGGAAGAGGAGAGUGGAAUUCCCGGUGUAGUGGUGGAAUGCGUAGAUAUCGGGAGGAACACCAGUGGCGAAGGCGGCUCUCUGGUCCAACCCUGACGCUGAGGUGCGAAAGCGUGGGGAGCGAACGGGAUUAGAUACCCCGGUAGUCCACGCUGUAAACGAUGGAUACUAGGUGUGGGAGGUUACUUACCCCUUCCGUGCCGUAGCUAACGUGAUAAGUAUCCCGCCUGGGGACUACGGCCGCAAGGUUAAACCUCAAAGGAAUUGACGGGGGCCCGCACAAGCAGCGGAGCGUGUGGUUUAAUUCGAUGAUACGCGAAGAACCUUACCUGGGCUUGAAUGUUGGUAGUAGUGAAGCGAAAGCGGAUCG